UUCACAUUUCACUCUCUCAAUCUUCUUUAAGGAGCAUUCUCUGGACUUAAGAGCUUUCCCUCUAGAGUCCUAAGUGCUCACCAAGAUCUAGUAAGUCUUUCCUAUAGUUAAAUUUCAGUUUAGCAUUUCAAUUUUAUCCGAAAGUCAAGCACUUUAACUUUUGCUUUGAUUUUCGGUUCUAACCAUUUUGGUCAAAUCAAAGUUCAAUUAAAAUUUCCCACGUGAUCAUUAUAUCAUAGGGUAUAAUUACCUGCAAUUAUAUCCCGUGAUCAUCACGUUCAAGUGGGUCAAUUGACGAGUCAAACAUGUAUUAAAAGUCAAAACACAGCUUUAUGCAUUUUGCGGCAAAUGAACUUUUAAGUAUUAUAACCAAAAGUUUUGAUACCAAAUCAGUUUAUAUAACAUAAUAAAAAUGUAUUUUGAUAUGUCUGACUCAUCGUAGACCUAUUAGGCCACCCGAACCCGUUUCUAUGUGCGCGACUAGUUAAAAUGGCAUAAACCAUAUAAACUAGUCGUAUCAGGUAAAACCUUUUCAAAUUGGAAUGCUUGGUUAAAUAACCCGUAUUACACAAGAUUUCUCACUCGAACGGGUAUAAACCACAUUCUAUCCGAUCAACGCUUAAUCUAGCAGAAGCGAGCGUAGUUAACGGGUCAAAGUCAAAAGACUUAUCAAUGACCAGUAAACAUUCUAACGGAUAAUAUAAACAUUCUAACGGAUAAUAUUUCUGUUCAUUCUGGACUAUAGAGCCCUCUAGAUAAUUGCAUCUAGGAUUAAUAAACUUUGAAUAUGGCUUUGCUACGAGAAUCAAAUACACUGUUUUAAAAAUCUAGUAAAGGUAAAUACUUUUAGCCUAUUUUAUUUAUAAAACUUGGGAUAUGGCAUUAGCCACUUGGAGCGGGUAUUAAAAAAGGGCGAAUGAUGUGAUAGAAAUAUAAUAACCCGGUUUAUCCGUUAUGUUUGGAAACAUUAAACACUUAUGGGUUAAUAGUACCGUGUCCGAGUGUCCUUCCUCCUUAACUAUAAUGGUCAUAUAAAAUAAGCGUGGGGUGUAGGCAUACACUUGAAAGACGCAAAUAUUGAAGAUGGUGUGUAUAUUGACCAUGUACCGACAUUUGAUUCCGGUCCCCGGCUGUAUUGGCAAGCAUGUAAAACUAGUAGAAGAAUCUAUCCCAAUGCUGGAUACGAUUCGACCAUAA
rnacentral:lncRNA from 1 species